rnacentral:rRNA from 1 species
GCUUGCACCUGGUGGCGAGUGGCGAACGGGUGAGUAAUACAUCGGAACGUACCUUAUCGUGGGGGAUAACGCAGCGAAAGCUGUGCUAAUACCGCAUACGCCCUGAGGGGGAAAGCGGGGGAUCGAAAGACCUCGCGCGAUUAGAGCGGCCGAUGCCUGAUUAGCUUGUUGGUGGGGUAAAAGCCCACCAAGGCGACGAUCAGUAGCUGGUCUGAGAGGACGAUCAGCCACACUGGGACUGAGACACGGCCCAGACUCCUACGGGAGGCAGCAGUGGGGAAUUUUGGACAAUGGGGGAAACCCUGAUCCAGCAAUGCCGCGUGAGUGAAGAAGGCCUUCGGGUUGUAAAGCUCUUUUGUCAGGGAAGAAACACCGGCUCUAACACAGUCCGGGAAUGACGGUACCUGAAGAAUAAGCACCGGCUAACUACGUGCCAGCAGCCGCGGUAAUACGUAGGGUGCGAGCGUUAAUCGGAAUUACUGGGCGUAAAGCGUGCGCAGGCGGUUAUACAAGACAGGCGUGAAAUCCCCGGGCUUAACCUGGGAAUGGCGCCUGUGACUGUAUAGCUAGAGUGUGUCAGAGGGGGGUAGAAUUCCACGUGUAGCAGUGAAAUGCGUAGAUAUGUGGAGGAAGACCAAUGGCGAAGGCAGCCCCCUGGGAUAACACUGACGCUCAUGCACGAAAGCGUGGGGAGCAAACA